GACGAACGCUGGCGGCGUGCUUAACACAUGCAAGUCGAGCGGAAAGGCCCUUUCGGGGGUACUCGAGCGGCGAACGGGUGAGUAACACGUGAGUAAUCUGCCCUUCACUUGGGGAUAACCUCCGGAAACGGUGGCUAAUACCCGAUACGACCAUUCCUCGCAUGAGGUGGUGGUGGAAAGUUUUUCGGUGGGGGAUGUGCUCGCGGCCUAUCAGCUUGUUGGUGGGGUAAUGGCCUACCAAGGCUUCGACGGGUAGCCGGCCUGAGAGGGUGACCGGCCACACUGGGACUGAGACACGGCCCAGACUCCUACGGGAGGCAGCAGUGGGGAAUAUUGGACAAUGGGCGGAAGCCUGAUCCAGCAACGCCGCGUGAGGGAUGACGGCCUUCGGGUUGUAAACCUCUUUCACCUGUGACGAAGCGAAAGUGACGGUAGCAGGAGAAGAAGCACCGGCCAACUACG
rnacentral:rRNA from 1 species